ACUGAGGAGUGAUGACAGGAAAGGCCGAAUCGCAGUGCUCGCCGGCAGUUUGCUCUCUGCGGCUGCACGAUGACAAAGCCUCCUGAAGCGAACAUGGUCUGACCUCAGU
ensembl:snoRNA SNORD89 small nucleolar RNA SNORD89